UGAUUUUUAGACCCAUAUGAAUAUUGUGACUGAUUGGUAGGCUAAAUGUGAUGUUAUAGAUGAUGAAAAUUGAGACUUGGACCUAGAACGGAAAGAAAUCGAUUUAUGGACGAGUAUGUCCUUUUCACAUUUGUGGUAUCGAGAGUUUCCAGGUUAGCUCGGGUUGGAGGCCGUCAGAGAUAUUAUCACCCUAUCGAGUUAACGUUAUCGGAUAAGUAAACUCAAGUGAUUCGAGUCUAUGGCAUGUAUAGGGUUUUAAUGUGAGUAUGUAAUAUUAUGAUUUAGCCAAAGGCAUUGGCUUGUUAUUAAGGUAGUAUUAGUCAUGUAAAUUGGCCUAUGUCGGCUAAUGACAUUAUGGGCCCAUAUGAUUAUUCUUAUGCAUGUAUGUUAUUAUCUA